UAGUCCACGCCGUAAACGAUGAGUACUAGUUAUUAGAGGUAUUGACCCCUUUAGUGACGCAGCUAACGCAUUAAGUACUCCGCCUGGGAAGUACGGUCGCAAGACUAAAACUCAAAGGAAUUGACGGGGGCCCGCACAAGCGGUGGAUUAUGUGGUUUAAUUCGAAGCAACGCGCAAAACCUUACCUAGGCUUGAAAUCCUACGAAUCUGGUGUAAUGACCGGAGUGCUCGCAAGAGAACGUAGUGACAGGUGCUGCAUGGCUGUCGUCAGCUCGUGUUGUGAAAUGUUGGGUUAAGUCCCGCAACGAGCGCAACCCUCGCCUUUAGUUGCCAUCAUUUAGUUGGGCACUCUAGAGGAACCGCCGGUGAUAAGCCGGAGGAAGGUGGGGAUGACGUCAAGUCCUCAUGGCCCUUACGGGUAGGGCUACACACGUGCUACAAUGGCAGUGACAAUGGGUUAAUCCCUAAAAACUGUCUCAGUUCGGAUUGUUCUCUGCAACUCGAGAGCAUGAAGUUGG
rnacentral:rRNA from 1 species